UUAGUACUCCCUCCGUCCGGAAAUACUUGUCGGAAGAAUGGAUGUAUCUAGAUGUAUUUUAGUUCUAAGUACAUCCAUUUUUAUUCAUUUUUUUGACAAGUAUUUUUGGACGGAGGGAGCGCGAA
rfam:Triticum aestivum genome assembly, contig: Triticum_aestivum_CS42_TGACv1_scaffold_513919_6BS